AUUCUACUUCCUCUGUACCAAAAUAAUUGCAGUUGGAGAGAAAUAGACUAGUAUUUCUCCCCAACUACAAUUAUUUAGGAACGGAGGGAGAAUUUU
rnacentral:pre_miRNA from 1 species